GUUUACGUCCAUACCACCCUGAAUGCGCCCGAUCUCAUCUGAUCUCGGAAGCUAAGCAGGGUCGGGCCUGGUUAGUACUUGGAUUGGAGGAAUUAAGCAUACACUAACU
rnacentral:rRNA from 1 species